UACGUAGGGGGCAAGCGUUGUCCGGAAUCACUGGGCGUAAAGGGCGCGUAGGCGGCUACUUAAGCGUGUGGUGAAAGUCCGGGGCUCAACCCCGGAUCGGCCGUGCGAACUGAGUGGCUCGAGCACUGUAGAGGCAGGUGGAAUUCCGGGUGUAGCGGUGGAAUGCGUAGAGAUCCGGAAGAACACCGGUGGCGAAGGCGGCCUGCUGGGCAGUGGCUGACGCUGAGGCGCGACAGCGUGGGGAGCAAACAGG
rnacentral:rRNA from 1 species